UAUCCUGGCUCAGGAUGAACGCUAGCGGCAGGCCUAAUACAUGCAAGUCGAACGAUACUUUCCAGCUUGCUGGGGAGGAAAGUGGCGCACGGGUGCGUAACGCGUAUGCAACCUACCUUAAUCAGGGGGAUAGCCCGAAGAAAUUCGGAUUAACACCGCAUAAAAUCACAGUACAGCAUUGUACAAUGAUCAAAUAUUUAUAGGAUUAAGAUGGGCAUGCGUGACAUUAGUUAGUUGGCGGGGUAACGGCCCACCAAGACCACGAUGUCUAGGGGAUCUGAGAGGAUGACCCCCCACACUGGUACUGAGACACGGACCAGACUCCUACGGGAGGCAGCAGUAAGGAAUAUUGGUCAAUGGAGGCAACUCUGAACCAGCCAUGCCGCGUGCAGGAAGACAGCCCUCUGGGUCGUAAACUGCUUUUAUUCGGGAAUAAACCUCAUUAUGUAUAGUGAGCUGAAUGUACCGAAGGAAUAAGGAUCGGCUAACUCCGUG
rnacentral:rRNA from 1 species